AGUUGGUAUUUUACUAUACAGUUUGGGUCCCUUGUCCAAAAAUUAGAAAUUCUCUGAAGUCUGAAACGUUAGUAUUGACAGGAACUUAAACUGCAUUGCUGGAUAUGGUGAUAUAUACUCUGAGCCAGAUAUGCUGGUGUAUACUACCAGCCAUUUUGGAGUCUUGAUGGCAUCAGGAUCACCAGGAAGUUGGGUGUGGUGGCAUGAUUACAAGCAAGCAAACAAAACAAACCAACUUGGAUAGUAAAUGAGAGGCACAUUCCUUAGCCUCAAAAAAAAAAAAAAGUUGAGUUGAUUUUAGGGGUGGACCUCAGUGAUAGAACUCAUGCUCAGUACACUCAGCCUGUGUUCAGUCCUCAGUGAUAGAACUCAUGCUCAGUACACUCAGCCCGUGUUCAGUCCUCAGUGAUAGAACUCAUGCUCAGUACACUCAGCCUGUGUUCAGUCCUCAGCGAUAGAACUCAUGCUCAGUACACUCAGCCCGUGUUCAGUCCUCAGUGCUAGAACUCAUGCUUAGUACACUCAGCCUGUGUUCAGUCCUCAGUGCUAGAACUCAUGCUUAGUACACUCAGCCUGUGUUCAGUCCUCAGUGCUAGAACUCAUGCUUAGUACACUCAGCCCGUGUUCAGUCCUCAGUGAUAGAACUCAUGCUUAGUACACUCAGCCCGUGUUCAGUCCUCAGUGAUAGAACUCAUGCUUAGUACACUCAGCCUGUGUUCAGUCCUCAGUGCUGGUUGCCAGUGAAGUUUUAGAUUUUGGAGAAUUUAAAUAUUUUUUUUUUUUUUAGAUCAGGGAUUUUUAACCACUAAAGUGUUAAAGAGAAUAUUCUACACAAACAUUUCUAAAACCUGAAUCUCCUUUGGUCCUCAACACUUUAGAAUUUUGCUUAAGGAACACAUGGUCUGUGUUUGCUUCUCAUGUUAUCUGUUUAUUGCUGUUAGUACAUCUUACUCUUCAAUACCUAUGAAAACAUUUGCCUCCUCUUUUGAUUCUCUUAACUUCUCCAAACAUCCAAGAUAAUUUAUUUAUUAAUUAGGCUUAAUGUUAAGUGCUCUCUACGUUGAAAUAAUUAGAAAAUUAUAUCAUUUUAUAACCACCAAUAAUAAUUCAGGUAAAGAGUGUCAGGGGUGCUAAAACCACUGCAUCAAAGAUAUUCACUGACUUGAAGUAUCUUUGCUCGGAUUAUUUAGUUAUAAAUGGAGAAAUAUGGAAGCAGACCAAAAAUCCCAGCAGUCACUGCUGAGGCAGUUAAUUAAUAACAUGAGCAGUGAGACAGCCUGGCACUUGCAGGACCACAGCGCAGGGUCUCAGCGCCAUGUGCUGCUCUCCCUGAGAAUGGAGGGAUUGCAUUUGGAGACAAGGAAACCCUCUAGUGAUUGCAUGGUGUAUGCAACUUAGGUCUCAUAAAAGCCAUGUCCUAAAGAACAGAGAGGCAAGUCUGUAGUAUGGACACAGUUGGUAUUUGCUGUAUAAUAUUGACACAGUAAUAAUAGCUGAGGGAAAGUUAAAACAAGGACUGAUGGACAUUUAAGUAUAAACUGUAUAUUGAAGAAGUUCAACUUUGAUCUCUUAGAUUUGCUGAUGUUUUAGUUGUGUAGCAAAUGUGCUUGUAUUUAGAGGCUUCAUGCCGAAGGAUUUAGGGAUGAAGUAAUGACUGCUGCCUGCUUUGUGGCUUUUUUUUUUUUUUAGUAAAAAUAUAAUUUAUAAACAGUAAUAGAGUAGAUAUAUGAAAAUAUUAAGUUAAUGAAUCUAGGAAAUGAGUGUUCUGUAAUAUUCAAGUUCAAAAUAGCAGAAGGUUUUGGUUUUUUUUCAGGGGAUGGGGAUAUUUCAUCUUAAAUUUAAGCACAUGGUAUAUGACCCAGUUUUCUGCUCUUUGUAUACUUAUGGACCAUAUAUACCACUUAGAGUAUGUAGAACAAAAAUCUCAGUACGUCUAUCAUCAACACUAAUUUGUCCUUUUGUUUCUAAAGUUUUCUUUAGAGUCAAUCACGAUACAUCUAGAUGGUAAGCUAUUUUUAUCUGUUCAUGCACUAAAGUUUAUACUGAUCCAUUUUAUAGUAAUAUUUAUUUAAUUAAUUAAUACAGUGUAUAAAGGGCUUCAUGUAAUUUUAUUUUGUAAUGCAACUAAGCCUAAUAUUUUAGAGUCUCCUUUUUAUUUGGAAAAAUUAUGUUUUAUUAAUGCAAUUCUUAAGAAUAGUAUAGAGUAAGCCGGGCAGUGGUGGCGCACGCCUUUAAUCCCAGCACUCGGGAGGCAGAGGCAGGCGGAUUUCUGAGUUUGAGGCCAGCCUGGUCUACAGAGUGAGAUUCAGGACAGCCAGGGCUACACAGAGAAACCCUGUCUUGAAAAACAAAACAAAACAAAACAAAAAAAAAAAAAAACAACAACAAAAAAGUAAGAAUAGUAUAGAGUAUAGUAAAUUAUUAAUUUUAAGCUUAUAUUUCCUCCAUUUUUUGGUUUGUCACCUUAAAAAUUUGUUCCUUUUUCAUUUUUCUCUGUUUCCCUCUAGGACCAGAAAGUGAUCCUGUAGACAUUAUUUUAAAUACCUCUGAUCUAACUAAAUGUGAAUGGUGUAAUGUCCGG
rnacentral:lncRNA from 1 species